ensembl:lncRNA
ACCGAAUUAACUGAAAUAAUAACGGAAAUAACGGAAAUAAUAACGGAAAUAACGAAAAUAUCCUCCAGGGAGACAGAAACAUACGGCAGAAAAUUAGGUGACAGGUAAAGAACAACAACGGAAAUAACGGAAAUAAGGGAAAUAACGGAAAUAAGGGAAAUAACGGAAAUAUCGGAAGUAACCUCCACAGAGACAGAAACAUACGGCAGAAAAUUAGGUGACAGGUCAAGAACAUUAACGGAAAUAACGGAAAUAACGGAAAUAACGGAAAUAACCUACACAGAGACAGAAACUUACGGCAGAAAAUUAGGUGACAGGUCAAGAACAUCAACGGAAAUAACAGAAAUAACUGAAAUAACUGAAAUAACCUCCACAGAGCCAGAAACAUACGGCAGAAAAUUAAGUGACAGUUCAAGAACAACAACGGAAAUAACGGAAAUAACGGAAAUAUCGGAAAUAACGGAAAUAACGGAAAAAACGGAAAUAACCUCCACAGAGACAGAAACUUACGGCAGAAAAUUAGGUGACAGGUCAAGAACAACAACGGAAAUAACGGAAAUAACGGAAAUCACGGAAAUAACGGAAAUCACGGAAAUAACGGAAAUCACGGAAAUAACGGAAAUCACG